rnacentral:piRNA from 1 species
UUGCUUAUUGAUGGACCUGGCGGGAUAAU